rnacentral:rRNA from 1 species
UACGAAGGGGGCUAGCGUUGUUCGGAAUCACUGGGCGUAAAGCGUACGCAGGCGGAUCGAUAAGUCAGGGGUGAAAUCCCGGGGCUCAACCUCGGAAUUGCCUUUGAUACUGUCGAUCUUCGAGUUCGGGAGAGGUUGGCGGAAUUCCUAGUGUAGAGGUGAAAUUCGUAGAUAUUAGGAAGAACACCAGUGGCGAAGGCGGCCAACUGGCCCGAUACUGACGCUCAUGUACGAAAGCGUGGGGAGCAAACAGG